CGUGAUCGGAUUUGCCCCACUGCGUCUCGCACCCAAGUGGAUCUACUCUCUGGGUUAGCGCAAAGUGCCGGUUGCCGGCAGUGAACAGAGGAGGAGGAGGGCGAAGAGGAGGAGGAGGAGGGCGAGGAGGAGGAGGAGGCUCUUCAGCAACAGCCUAAUCGCCUCAUUAGCAUAUCAACAAUAGUCCAAUUGCUCGCCAGUACCACAAUCUGCCGCCGUCCGCUCCGACCCAGGUUGGAGAUUCUGCCAAACGGCUCCGGUUGCCCGGCUGGGGUUUGCGAUCUCUUAAUUGCUGCGUGUAAAAUAAAAGUUGUACCCUGAAGAGGUUACUCGACAGCUCCAGGGGUUAAAUGAUUUUCCU